rnacentral:lncRNA from 1 species
UGUAACUGUGAUCUAAAGUGGCCUUCGACACAUGUAGGUGGCUUGUUAAGAUUUCCAGGACACUGGCGGAUUUACCCAGUAAUCCUCCCAUCAGCUGGUCAAAGCAAGUGGUCGACUAUUUUUGCUCUAAUGAUUCUUCAUGGUACUAUUUCUGUGGUGGUUUUUAUUUUUGUUUUGGUGGAUCGUUCCCGCAGGAACACAGGUUUUACUUAAGCCAGAAGUCCUCUUGAAGACACCAGUGAGACUGACCAGAUAGAAAUGACCAACACUCUGAACACUUGAACUCGUGUUAUAUCAGUUUGAUGAUUUAGUUUACAUUCUCCCAUGAUUCAAUGCUGCUUUUCCAUCCCUGCUGAUUUACAAAGAUGAUAUGAAGGACCGAUUCCGACUACACGACCAGUGAAUAAAAUGUAACCCUGGUUUUCACUGGUUACUUAUAUUUUUAUCAUUCAUUGAUUUAUUUUACAAAGUGCCUUCCGGUUGCUCUUUUUAGUUGAUAGAUCUAAACAAAGCGCCAUCUUGUUGCCUAUUUAGUGUAAUAUAUAGACAAACGGCCUUCUGACUGCAAGUUUAGUGGAAAAAUGUAAACCAAGUUCCUGUCCUCUAGUUAACAAAUGCAAACUAAGUGCCCUUUGGAUGCAAAUUUAGUAAUUAGAAUGUACAUGAAGAACCCUCUGGGUCCCUUCCAGUUUAUAAAAUGUAAACAAAGUGCCUAUGUGUGCUUAUUUAUUGAAUAUAACAUAAUUAAGUGCCCUUUACUUGCUUUUAAUAAGUUACUAAAAUGUAAACGAGUGUCCUCUGGUUGCUCCUUCUGUACGUAAAAUGUUAAAAACCUUAUGGGUGACUUAUCAGUCUGUAAACAGAGUGCCCUUUAUUUUUUCAUCAAGUAAUUGUAAUGUAAACAAAGCACCCUUAGGGAGCUUAUUUCAUUAAUAAACAAAAUGUAAAGACAGUUAAUUCCCUUUGCUAAUCAAGUGACUUAAAUUUAGACCAAGUUCCCCUUUAGUGGUCCUAUUGUGAACAAAGUGCCAUUUAAGGGGUUCAUAGAGGGUACAAAAUGUAAACAAAGUACCCCUUUGGCAACCUUAGAGUGUAUUAAAAGUAACCCAAUUGCCACUCACACUGAGAGGACUCUUAUUCAGAUUUUCCAGCAAAACGGUUGUAAAUGCUCACUGUGUUUGAAUGCAUGUUUUAUUUUGUUUGUAACCCAUCUACUUUCUGAGUCUCAGUUAGUCCUUCCUGAGCUGGACCAAAGGUGAGAUAAGCUCCAUGCCAAAGGGACCAGUUCAAUAUGGGAGCCAGGCAGUUUGAUUUUAAGCGGGCCACUCAUUAACAGAUGAUGUUUUAUGCUCUCCUGCAAAGAGCCAGACUCCUUUGAUUAAACGGGUUAAGAGCUGAAUUUUGGUGGGCAUAUGGUGAAUCAUGCACUGAAUGGACAGGGCACACAGCGUCCUCCAGGCCUGACUGUUAUUUCCGGUGCACCAGUGCUCGUACAGCAACAGCUGCUGCUCUCCUGGCCAGCAUCUAGAGUCAUCCAGGGUUUAGGAAGGGAGGACGGAAGGAGGGAGGAGCAGGAGGAUGUGUUCAGUCUCUUAUUGUAUGUCUAGGUUGAGGUGGGGGUGGGAGGUCCUUCAGCCUUUGUCACGAAAGCCUCUUGGAUGCUCUCCAUCCACCCCUCAGGCCCAGUGAUUCACACAGGUGCUAAUUUGGGAGAGCUAACACAUACUGUGUUUUAUUUUUCAUGACACUGGAUCCUCAAUGAGUGACUAAGUCCAUGCAGGAAUCAGCUUAGGUUUAUGAACAAGUCCUCAACAGCUCUGGGUUGAGAUUAUUGCAGACAGGAUGUACCAAGGACGUUUCAGGGGUGGGGCAACAAAAGAGGGCACUAAGAGUGGCAACGAGAGGGCACUUUGUUUACAUCUAUCAACUAAAAAGAUUUUGAAAAAAAAAUCCUGAUUUAAAAAAGUAAAAGAGGCUGCGUGUACUAGAGAAGCAAUGAAAUUUAGAUAGUAUAUUCACCGUUUCAUGAUACUUAAGCACUCAGUACUUAGACAACAAUACUCAUUUAUAAAUUCACUUGAACAGCGUUCAAUUAAAUCUAUAGCACAGAUCUGAAGUGUAGAAAUCAAAGUUUUUGUGUAUUUUUUUGUGUCGUUCACAUCCGGUCCACUUUCAAUUUGUGACUUAAAGUGAGAAAAAAUCUCUUCCUGUCUCUAAAGUCUGUUUUUUUUUCAUUCAUUGUAAAAUCAAACUCUUGUUAUGCAGCUUCACAGUAGAAAGCCUCCAUUACCAUACAGUGCAGAACAGUGAUUUCACAUUGAUCCCCCGGUGAUGGUGUUUUUUUCAAUUCACCUGCAGCUCUGGAGAAUCCACUCAAAGUGAUUUGAAGUUUAUUUUGGAGGACAAUCACUCAUUGUCUUUAUUUUUCAGCAGUUACCCCCCUCACUGAGCGAAGCUUCGGCUCCACACAGAUAACUUCAAUCAGCCAAAUGUUGGACCGGGAGCAGACAGCAGCCGUCUAAUGAGAAGCUCUGCUGGGUCCAGAUUGCUUACGCUCUGUGUCAUGGAAAAAGUAGAGAGCAGAAUUAAAACGCUCUGCUGUGCCAUGUGGACGUAUAAUAUCUGUUUCCUGUG